rnacentral:rRNA from 1 species
UACGUAGGGGGCAAGCGUUGUCCGGAUUUAUUGGGCGUAAAGAGCGUGUAGGCGGCUUUGCAAGUCCGUUGUGAAAACUCGAGCUCAACCUCGAGACGCCGGUGGAAACUGCAAAGCUAGAGUCCGGAAGAGGAGAGUGGAAUUCCUGGUGUAGCGGUGAAAUGCGCAGAUAUCAGGAAGAACACCCGUGGCGAAGGCGGCUCUCUGGGACGGUACUGACGGCUGAGACGGCGAAAGCGUGGGGAGCGAACAGG